AAAGCUUACACCAACUAGAACUAAUCAACAUGAUCUUUAGCCCAGAGACACCCUAGCAUGCCCCGACUAUGAAGCAGAAUUAAACAAACUAGGAGAUUGAGCCAAGAUUAAUGGGUUACAUGGUGGUGAAAUAAGAGACGAUACAUGAAAGUCAAUUAUGGAUCUGCGUACCUUGCAUCAAGCUGAAUACAAGUGGCUGGUGGAAUAAUGAUUGUCCAGUUCAAAGACCUUCUACGCAAAUGAGGUCUAAAAUAGGCUGUGAUGGAUUGUCAUGUCCAGUGCAUGGAGAUUGUGCAUCUAUUCCGGUGUAUGUAUAUUGUAGCUUCAGAAAAUAUAGGAGUACAGAGUUUUCACGAUGAUCCAAGAUGAGAGAGAGACCAAAUUACUGUCACUGAUUGGAAAGCAGGCUGAAGAUUUGUUCGGUCAGUCAUGUUUAGAUCUUACAAACAAGAGGGUUUAUGCAAACCAUUAUAAUCUACCUAAUGAGAUAAGUAAUAGGAUAGGGUUUAUUCAGCAAAAUCAAGUGUUUGGACAACCCAA